AUAUUUAACAUUUCUUCUUCAUUAUGUAGAAUGACUAGUUCUGAAAACGAACGUUUCUCCGUCUCCGGAGUGCUAUUUAUAUCCGGUCACUACUCAUCAUUCAUCCAUACUGUGUGUCCCCCAUGAUUGCAGGUCACUGAUACUCGCACCUGAUGUGGAAGUUGUCGAACCAGAUUAGAACGCCUUCGAAGAAAGACCACCUUCAGGCACGGACUGAGGUUUUUGACCAGGUGAGACUGAACAUGGACAGGGCGCAUGAGAAGGAGAGCCACCUGAGAAGGAGAGCCACCUGAGAAGGAGAGCCACCUGAGAAGGAGAGCCACCUGAGAAGGAGAGCCACCUGAGAAGGAGAGCCACCUGAGAAGAAUCAAGGCGAUCAAGUGCUUCGACAUCUGGGUGAAUGACUUGGCUUGGAAGAAGCACGAAAGGAAGGCGAGACCUGGGAAAGCUUGGUGCUCUUUCGCUCCUAGCUGGGGUCAACAUCCGUUAAGGGACCAUCCCUUAUAACCCCACUGACAUCAAAUUAGACAGGAGCUACGGAUUCUGCCUAGAACACCCAGACAUGGAUCCACCUGAUGUUCUCCAUUAUCAACCACCCUCCAACUUUUCAUUACAUCAGCUACUGUUAUUGUCAAGUUGUCAUUAUCUGCUAAUAAAUAGCAAGAACACUAAAGUACUAGACACAUAAUGUGAGAUGCACAGAUUAG